GAUGAACGCUGGCGGCGUGCUUAACACAUGCAAGUCGAACGGAAAGGCUCCUGCUUGCAGGGGUACUCGAGUGGCGAACGGGUGAGUAACACGUGGGUGAUCUGCCCUGCACUUCGGGAUAAGCCUGGGAAACUGGGUCUAAUACCGGAUAGGACGAUGGUUUGGGUGCCAUUGUGGAAAGUUUUUUCGGUGUGGGAUGAGCUCGCGGCCUAUCAGCUUGUUGGUGGGGUAAUGGCCUACCAAGGCGUCGACGGGUAGCCGGCCUGAGAGGGUGUACGGCCACAUUGGGACUGAGAUACGGCCCAGACUCCUACGGGAGGCAGCAGUGGGGAAUAUUGCACAAUGGGCGCAAGCCUGAUGCAGCGACGCCGCGUGGGGGAUGACGGCCUUCGGGUUGUAAACUCCUUUCGCUAGGGACGAAGCGCAAGUGACGGUACCUGGAGAAGAAGCACCGGCUAACUACGUG
rnacentral:rRNA from 1 species